UAUACAAGUGACCUUGAGGCAACAGAACUCC
rnacentral:piRNA from 1 species